rnacentral:rRNA from 1 species
UAGGGAAUAUUGGUCAAUGGGCGAGAGCCUGAACCAGCCAUGCCGCGUGCAGGAAGAAGGCCCUCUGGGUUGUAAACUGCUUUUGACAGGGGCCAAAAUACUCAUGCGUGAGGAAUUGAGAGUACCUGUAGAAUAAGCACCGGCUAACUCCGUGCCAGCAGCCGCGGUAAUACGGAGGGUGCAAGCGUUGUCCGGAUUUAUUGGGUUUAAAGGGUGCGUAGGUGGCCUUAUAAGUCAGUGGUGAAAGCCUGCAGCUUAACUGUAGGACUGCCAUUGAUACUGUAGGGCUUGAGUACUGAUGAGGUAGGCGGAAUUGAUAGUGUAGCGGUGAAAUGCAUAGAUAUUAUCAAGAACACCGAUUGCGAAGGCAGCUUACUAAGGAGUUACUGACACUGAGGCACGAAAGCGUGGGGAUCAAACAG